AGGACGAACGCUGGCGGCGCGCCUAACACAUGCAAGUCGAGCGAUAACCAGUCCUUCGGGACUGGGGACAGCGGCGAACGGGUGAGUAACACGUGGGUGAUCUACCCUCGGUUUCGGGAUAGCCCGGGGAAACCCGGAUUAAUACCGAAUGGCCUCUAGAGCUCUCGGGCUCGAGAGAAAAGGUAGCUUCGGCCUCUGACCGAGGAUGAGCCCGCGGCCGAUUAGCUAGUUGGUGGGUAACGCCCACCAAGGCGACGAUCGGUAGCUGGUCUGAGAGGACGAUCCGCCACA
rnacentral:rRNA from 1 species